rnacentral:rRNA from 1 species
AUGUAUUGCAAACGUAUGGGCCUAAUGUUGUCUGAGGCAGUCGAAGCUGGAUCCAGAAGGGAUGAGGCCAAAGAUGAAGUGGCAGAUGUCACUUUCAGUGUAUCAGGAGCUCCCACAGCAGGCAUGUGCGAUGCCAUCGAAUUGUUUCCGCAGCAGCCUAAGAAACCAGAUGGUGUGCAUGGGACUACAGCAACCGCUACAGCCAAUGCCACCAAAUCUUCUCCGCAGCAGCCUAAGAAACCAGAUGGCGUGCAUGGGACUACAACAACCGCUACAGCCACUGCCACUGAAUCUUCUCCGCAACAGCCUAAGCAACCAAAUGGCGUGCAUGGGACUACAACAACCGCUACAGCUACUGCCACUGAAUUGUUUCCGCAGCAGCCUAAGCAACCAGAAGGCAAAAAGAGUGGGGAUCCAGCAGUUGAAGUGGAUCACACAAACGCUAUCCCAGGAAAGAAGAGAGACCACAUCAAUGGCAGUGUUCAUGGCAAUGUCAAUGUUCAUCGCAAUGCCAAGGGAGAAGAUUCUUGCAGCAAGGUAAACAUUGAACAGAAGUCGCCUCGCAGCCCAAGCUACCCAUUUGUGAAUUUGACAAGGAGGCCAGGGACACUUGAAGACGGGCCUUCAUUUGGCUUAUUUGAACCUAGAAGUGACGACGAUUUACUGUUUCAGGAUCCGCCACAAGUUAGUAAUUCACCUGCACGAUCAUCUGGUCUAUUUGAUGUGGACUCUUUCUUGGAGAUUCGAGCGAGAAGUCCUUUGUUUGAUAGUUCUCCUGGCAGUUCAACUGGUCCAGUUUAUGAUGUGACCCCACUCGCAACAUACCCCCCAUUAUCGACAGGCCCUGCAGAAGCAGGUGUUGAUGAGACAAGAGAGGAGGAGGAGGUGGUUGAAGUCAACAGCGGGCAAAGCCAUGAUGGGAAGAAGCCUACACUUAAGAGAGCUGCACCGGCCGCACCAAGCGCACGCAAGUUGCAGAAGAUGAAGAAGAUAAAAGUUGAUGCAACAGAAGAUGCGAUAUACCAGAGGUACUGCUGUACCAAUUAUCGUAUAAAGGACCCACCCGAAGGCGAGCCUCUCCCUGCAUUUAUCAGGAUAGGUGGUUUCGAUAUUUCCUUCAAACAUUUCAGUAAUGGGCUCAAAAAGCGCGCACAUUUGAACAAUGAGGUGAUGUCACUUUACAUCGAAAGUUUCAACAUUGAGCAGACGUACAACUCAACCAAGCCAAGGAAGUUUGCGUUCUCACCACAUGUUGCUACCAAGCUUUGUGUUGAUCCAAGUUCAUUCAAGACAAGUUCCUGCAUUAGAGAUUUGACCAGGGUCUGCGAGAAGAAUGACAUCGUGAAAUUUGAUCAAUUGUUCUUCACCAUAGUCCAGAGAGACCAUUGGGCAGUUGUUGUUGUCAAUUUCAUGAAAACACAAUUUAAUGUCUCUGACUCCAGGAGCUUAGACCCUGACUACGUCAGCAUCCUUGAGAAGCCUUGCUGCAACCUGAUAACAAACUUCAAAGCACUGGUCACAGAAUUUAACCCAUGGAAGCAAGAUUUUGGCACAUUUCAGAUGUCCAGUCCACCAAGCUACCCGCAGCAGUCAACAUCAUUUGAUUGUGGCAUCUUUGCUAUUCUAUACUUGGAGAAUUUAACUGCCAGGGGAUGA